AAGGGAGACCUAAUUCCGGUAGGAGACGAAAAAAAAGUAGUCCCAACCAAGAAUCAAUCCCAAAAGGUCGGAACGAGGUAUGAGGCUUUCAAACUAGGUUCUGGGUUCAUAAAAGACCUGAAUCAGGAACAAGGGCUAUUAGCUCAGGUGGUUAGAGCGCACCCCUGAUAAGGGUAAAGUCCCUGGUUCGAGUCCAGGAUGGCCCACCUGCACAGGUGGCAAAAACAAGAGAAGCUCCGAAUCAGCACCUUAUCUUAUAUACAUAUAUAAGAGAGAAUGCUGGCUCUGAGUAAAGAGUCCAGAGGAACCUUGAAAACUGCAUAGAGCUAGGUGAAAAAGCCAAAAAAGAAGACCGCAA
rnacentral:tRNA from 1 species